GAGGGUAUAGUUCAAGUGGUAGAGCACAUGCAUAGCAUGCACAAGGUUCUGGGUUCAAUUCCCAGUACCUCCU
rfam:Camelus ferus unplaced genomic scaffold scaffold56579, whole genome shotgun sequence.